rnacentral:tRNA from 1 species
GCCGGCCUAGCUCAAUUGGUAGAGCAACUGACUUGUAAUCAGUAGGUUGGGGGUUCAAGUCCUCUGUCCGGCACCA